UGAGGAAUAUUGGUCAAUGGGCGAGAGCCUGCACCAGCCAAGUCGCGUGAAGGAAGACAGUCCUAAGGAUUGUAAACUUCUUUUAUACGGGAAUAACGGGCGAUACGAGUAUUGCAUUGAAUGUACCGUAAGAAUAAGCAUCGGCUAACUCCGUGCCAGCAGCCGCGGUAAUACGGAGGAUGCGAGCGUUAUCCGGAUUUAUUGGGUUUAAAGGGUGCGUAGGUUGUUCGGUAAGUCAGCGGUGAAACCUGAGCGCUCAACGUUCAGCCUGCCGUUGAAACUGCCGGGCUUGAGUUCAGUGGCGGCAGGCGGAAUUCGUGGUGUAGCGGUGAAAUGCAUAGAUAUCACGAGGAACUCCGAUUGCGAAGGCAGCUUGCCAUACUGCGACUGACACUGAAGCACGAAGGCGUGGGUAUCAAACAGG
rnacentral:rRNA from 1 species